GACAGAGGAGCCAAGCGUUGUCCGGAGUAACUGGGCGUAAAGCGCACGCAGGUGGUUCUGUGCGUGGGGUGUGAAAGCUCUCGGCUUAACUGAGAGAGGCCACCUCAUACGGCAGAGCUCGACGCCCGUGAGAGGUCCACGGAAUUGCCGGUGUAGUGGUGAAAUGCGUAGAGAUCGGCAGGAACAGCCCAGGGGGAAACCAGUGGACUGGCACGGUGCUGACACUCAUGUG
rnacentral:rRNA from 1 species